AAGUAUGAUGUUUUAACAUUUCUCUGCCUAUUCAACAUCAAUUUUCAACUCAAUCUAUUGACGACCUUCCAUAUGUUCAGUCACAUCUAAGCAUACGAACACAGCCGCCAAAUCGUCUUUUACCACGUGGAUCUUGGCAAAGGCAAUAUGGAAGCUGGGAAGUUUUAACAAAACACCGCGUGCAAAAUUUCAACCAAAACGGAUAAGCAUAAGGUUCUCUAAAGGAUCAAAUGAGAAGAUCGGUUUAUAUGGGAGCUUUACAAGGUUAUGAACUGAUUUAGACCAUACCUGACACAGUUGAUGGAAGUAAUAACAAAGUGUCACUUGCAAAACUUCAGCCAAAUCGGAAACAAAUUGCGCCUUGAGGCUCAAGAAAUCAAAUCGGGAAAUUGGUUUUUAUAGUUUUUUUAUAUAUUCAACUAUAUCUAAUGGCCGGUUAAAAUGGCACAUCAUGAUGCGUGGUCUUGGUGACAUGUACACAUGACCAUCAGUCAUGGCGUCUAUCGAUUGCCGUUUACACAGCAAUUUGUAAUCAUAGAAUGACAGAUAUUGGUAAUGUAAACAAAAUAGAAGAAAAGUAUGGAAAAUUAAAUAAAAUAGAAGAAAAGUAUGGAAAAUUAAAUAAAAUCAAAGAAAAGAAAAAAUCGAUGUACCAUUUUUGGCUAAAGCUGCACACAUGAUGAGUACAAUCAUUAUGUGCCGCAUAAACUGUCUAUAAACAUGGAACGGUUCACGACACCGUAAAAUUCGAGCACCUAGCUUUAUUUGUUCGGAAGUAAGCGUGCUUUCGACUGACUAUCAAGACUAUGUAUACUUUAUGGCACCAUAAACCUAUCUUUCGAGGUGCUACAAACAAAAAUGACAAAGUUAACAAACCCCCAUCUUAUGGUGUGCCUGUGUGAUCAUCUGAGCGAAACAUGUACAUAGAUGAAGAAAGAUGAAUCUUUUUUUCGAACAAGCUAAAUUUUUAGAUUUCAGAAAUUGGGAAGCAUGUAAUUAAUUUAGCUAAUACAUUCAAACACUAGGCCGUCUGCAAACCUGCCAAUAGUUUUUUUGUUUUAAAAUGACGACCACCAACUUUUUAAGAGUAAGUAGCAACAACCAUUACAGCAUUAAAUUGGUGACCUCAACUAAGCGGCAACAGGCAAAACAUGUGUAAAGGCUUUGCUACUCCUCUUCGAAUUAAGAGACCAGGCACAUAUCCAAACAAAGGCAUAGAUAAAACAUUUCGAAUUUGUACAAAUUUAGAAAUAGAUAUUUAUUUUGUUGAGAUUUUUGUUUAAACCGCUAACAUUUUAACGAAAUCUCUCCAAGUUUGAGAAGACUUGGGAAUCAAUAAAAUUACCGAAAUUAUGUACACUAAAAAUUUAAUUGAAAUCUAAAAUGAAUUUAUCGCUUCGUGCCGCAAAAAAAUGCGCUACUCUCUGGAAUUGUAGCUACGUAUUCAUAUCAAAGUUAAAAAGAUCAACAUCAAAAUGCAAUGCAACAACAAACACCACACCCCCCUUCAACGAAAGAAAACUAAUACGUGUCCAUGUCUUUCGACCGCCUAUGCCGAACGACCGGCCGAGCACUUCAAACCAACCGAAGCUCAUCGAAACAUCAUCAUCACCAUAAAGAGCUUAUUUCAUCUUUUAUAAUACAGAUAAUACAUCUACUCUCUCCGAAACCGGCACGAAACAGGGUUCAAUUUGACAAUUAGAAUUGAAAUUUUUCCACGUCGCACAUCAUCUAUUCAAUCACCACACAAGCUUUCAACAUAAUUUUCUUUCAUCAGCUUUCUUGCCCGUAUUUGUAAAUUUUACUUUCUCAGUUUUUUUGCUUACUGUCCAUCUAUUUGUAUACCACUUUUCGAUGAGACGAGCUAUAAUAGCUAGUCGUACUUUUUGUGAAAACACGUUUUAGCCAAAAGAAAAUAAAUUUAAUUUAAUAAAACUUGAUGGCGAUGAUUUUUGCAUUGUAAUGUGGGUUUUUUGCUUGUUUUACCAAAAAAUCAAUUCACACUUUCUGUUCACUUUCUUUCCUCCAAUGAAUGAAAAAAUGCUUAACAUUCGACGGCGUUCCCUUUCACGGAAGUUUGAAAUUAAAUUCGUGUAGGAAAUUAAUAUAAUAUUCACGUUUAAACUAUUUAUAUUAAUUUUAAUAUUAAAGGAUUAAAGGAUGAUUAUUAAUUUAAAGGGCAAAGCAAAAGCAGCUAUACGUUGUCUCUGUUUUACUGUUACGAAUUAAA